CACUUCUCUCCUGUUGUGGUUUCUAUCCCAUUUCUCUCUCCACAACUCACUUCGUCUCUAUUGCCAAAUCAAUGGUGAGGCUUACUGACCCUCCGACAGCCGGAUCUAUCCAGUCGACUUCGGCCAUGCCGUCCAACUCGUGCAGUGCUAGCUCCGCUCCCCGCUAACGAGUACCAUCAGGGACCUCUUGCUUGAGUGGAGGCGGUGGCGCGCCGCAGCGCCCUGGAGGUGACGAAGGUCCUGGGAGAUGGUGGGCGGUGUGCUCCCUGUUCCACGAAGCACCUUAUCGAUGUUCGCGAUAAUGUGGUGGACGAAUUGUUCUGCCACCGGCACUGACCUGGCACUUCCGGGGUAGCCGGUGCUCACCCAGGGCGUUGUCGGAUUUGUGGUCAGUAUAUGACAACCACUAUUAAUAACAAAAAAGGAAUUAGUAGUGGUGAUGGAGCAUGCUUCUCCAUCGGCAGCUCCGGCAAGGAAUACUGAAAUGUGUUUGUGAUGGAUUCUUUAGCUCAGCUGAUUCGAUUAGCUAUAUGUGAUGUACUUGUUAGCUGGUUUGAUUUGAUUAAUGUUCUGUUCGUCCAUCUGUAAGUCUGUCAGCAUCUCCUUAUUGUUGCUCUCAGGCUCCAGGACAGUGCCCGUUUCUUGCAGCGAUUUCAUGCUUGUCGCUGAGCAGAUUCUAAUCUAGUUCUUUGUUUUUCUUAUUUUUGAUUUAUCUCUGUGCCUCUUUUUUUCCAGAAAUUUUAGCUUUGACGCAUAUGGUGAUAAUGUUUUUUUUUUCUUCUGAAUUAGCGCUCCUGCUCCUAUACUACUCUGAUCAAUAUUUGUGUCAGUUGGACCAUUUGGAAUUCCGAUUUGCUGUUCAGCCAAAUCCAAGCCCGAACUUCAACUACAAGGAUGACAACAACGGCCGGGUGAUUGUUUCAGUACGGAGGAGCUGUUAGGUUGCAGCAGCUGGUGACUCGAGGCCUUCUUGCCUAACACAGACAGCGUAAUGUAAUGUUCAUGUGAAACCUUAAUGUCACACUUUAGCUUAUUAUUAGGAGGUUUGUAUUCAAUUAGAAAACAACU